rnacentral:rRNA from 1 species
CCUACGGGAGGCAGCAGUAGGGAAUCUUCCACAAUGGGCGAAAGCCUGAUGGAGCAACGCCGCGUGGGUGAAGAAGGUCUUCGGAUCGUAAAACCCUGUUGUUAGAGAAGAAAGUGCGUGAGAGUAACUGUUCACGUGUCGACGGUAUCGAACCAGAAAGCCACGGCUAACUACGUGCCAGCAGCCGCGGUAAUACGUAGGUGGCAAGCGUUAUCCGGAUUUAUUGGGCGUAACGGGAACGCAGGCGGUCUUUUAAGUCUGAUGUGAAAGCCUUCGGCUUAACCGGAGUAGUGCAUUGGAAACUGGGAGACUUGAGUGCAGCAGAGGGGAUUGGAACUCCAUUUGUAGCCGUGACAUGCGUAUAUAUAUGGAAGAACACCAGUGGCGAACGCGGCUCUCUGGUCUGUACCUGCCGCUGCGGUUCGACAGCGUGGGUAGCAAACAGGAUUAGAUACCCUGGUAGUC